rnacentral:rRNA from 1 species
GCAGCACGGACUUCGGUCUGGUGGCGAGUGGCGAACGGGUGAGUAAUGUAUCGGAACGUGCCUAGUAGCGGGGGAUAACUACGCGAAAGCGUAGCUAAUACCGCAUACGCCCUACGGGGGAAAGCAGGGGAUCGCAAGACCUUGCACUAUUAGAGCGGCCGAUAUCGGAUUAGCUAGUUGGUGGGGUAACGGCUCACCAAGGCGACGAUCCGUAGCUGGUUUGAGAGGACGACCAGCCACACUGGGACUGAGACACGGCCCAGACUCCUACGGGAGGCAGCAGUGGGGAAUUUUGGACAAUGGGGGAAACCCUGAUCCAGCCAUCCCGCGUGUGCGAUGAAGGCCUUCGGGUUGUAAAGCACUUUUGGCAGGAAAGAAACGUCAUGGGCUAAUACCCCGUGAAACUGACGGUACCUGCAGAAUAAGCACCGGCUAACUACGUGCCAGCAGCCGCGGUAAUACGUAGGGUGCAAGCGUUAAUCGGAAUUACUGGGCGUAAAGCGUGCGCAGGCGGUUCGGAAAGAAAGAUGUGAAAUCCCAGAGCUUACUUUGGAACUGCAUUUUUAACUACCGAGCUAGAGUGUGUCAAGGAGUGGAAUUC